rnacentral:rRNA from 1 species
GAUGAACGCUGGCGGCGUGCCUAACACAUGCAAGUCGAGCGAACGGACGAGAAGCUUUCUUCUCUGAUGUUAGCGGCGGACGGGUGAGUAACACGUGGAUAACCUACCUAUAAGACUGGGAUAAUUUCGGGAAACCGGAGCUAAUACCGGAUAAUAUUUUGAACUGAAUGGUUCAAAAGUGUAAGACGGUCUUGCUGUCACUUAUAGCUGGAUCCGCCCUGCAUGAGUUAGUUGGUAAGGUAACGGCUUACCAAGGCAACGAUGCAUAGCCGACCUGAGAGGGUGAUCGGCCACACGGGAACUGAGACACGGUCCAGACUCCUACGGGAGGCAGCGGUAGGGAAUCUUCCGCAAUGGGCGAGAGCCUGACGGAGCGACGCCGCGUGAGUGAUGAAGGUCUUCGGAUCGUAAAACUCUGUUAUUAGGAAAGAACAUAUGUGUAUGUAACUGUGCACAUCUUGACGGUACCUAAACAGAAAGCCACGGCUAACUACGUG